rnacentral:rRNA from 1 species
CAGCCGCCGCGGUAAUACGUAGGUGGCGAGCGUUGUCCGGAUUUAUUGGGCGUAAAGGGAGUGUAGGCGGUCUUUUAAGUCUGAUGUGAAAGCCCACGGCUCAACCGUGGAGGGUCAUUGGAAACUGGGAGACUUGAGUGCAGAAGAGGAGAGCGGAAUUCCAUGUGUAGCGGUGAAAUGCGUAGAUAUAUGGAGGAACACCAGUGGCGAAGGCGGCUCUCUGGUCUGUAACUGACGCUGAGGCUCGAAAGCGUGGGGAGCAAACAGGAUUAGAUACCCCGGUAGUCCCUGUCUCUUAUAC